UACGUAGGGGGCUAGCGUUGUUCGGAAUCAUUGGGCGUAAAGCGCGCGUAGGCGGCCAGAUAAGUCCGGUGUGAAAGCCACAGGCUCAACCUGUGAAUGCCGCUGGAAACUGUCUGGCUAGAGUCCGGGAGGGGCAAGUGGAAUUCCUGGUGUAGCGGUGAAAUGCGCAGAUAUCAGGAGGAACACCAAUGGCGAAGGCAGCUCGCUGGACCGGAACUGACGCUGAGGCGCGAAAGCGUGGGGAGCGAACGGG
rnacentral:rRNA from 1 species